rnacentral:misc_RNA from 1 species
CUAAGGUGGGAUAGAUGAUUGGGGUGAAGUCGUAACAAGGUAGCCGUAUCGGAAGGUGCGGCUGGAUCACCUCCUUUCUAAGGAAAAGGAAACCUGUACGUUGGUCUUGUUUAGUUUUGAGAGGUCUUGUGGGGCCUUAGCUCAGCUGGGAGAGCGCCUGCUUUGCACGCAGGAGGUCAGCGGUUCGAUCCCGCUAGGCUCCAUUAACACUUUAGUAGUGUUAAGUUUGAACAUUGAAAAUUGAAUAUCUAUAUCAAAUAGUAACAAGAAAAAUAAACCGAAACGCUGUAAAUAUUUAAAGAGUUUAGGUCGUAAGACCAAAAAUAAGGUUAAGUUAAUAA